rnacentral:rRNA from 1 species
GACGAACGCUGGCGGCGUGCUUAGCACAUGCAAGUCGAACGGAAAGGCCCUGCUUGCAGGGUACUCGAGUGGCGAACGGGUGAGUAACACGUGGGUGAUCUGCCCUGCACUUCGGGAUAAGCCUGGGAAACUGGGUCUAAUACCGGAUAGGAGCCAUUUUUAGUGUGAUGGUUGGAAAGUUUUUUCGGUGGAGGAUGAGCUCGCGGCCUAUCAGCUUGUUGGUGGGGUAAUGGCCUACCAAGGCGGCGACGGGUAGCCGGCCUGAGAGGGUGGACGGCCACAUUGGGACUGAGAUACGGCCCAGACUCCUACGGGAGGCAGCAGUGGGGAAUAUUGCACAAUGGGCGCAAGCCUGAUGCAGCGACGCCGCGUGGGGGAUGACGGCCUUCGGGUUGUAAACUCCUUUCGCUAGGGACGAAGCUUUUUGUGACGGUACCUAGAGAAGAAGCACCGGCUAACUACGUG